UGCAAGUCGAACGAGGGCCCGGAGCUUGCUCUGGUGACCCGAGUGGCGGACGGGUGAGUAACACGUGACCAACCUACCUUCGGGAGGGGGACAACCUGGGGAAACCCGGGCUAAUACCGCAUAUCGUCCACGGGUCGCAUGACCUGUGGAUAAAAGGGAGCCUCUGCUUGCAUGCUCUCACCCGAAGAGGGGGUCGCGGCGUAUCAGCUAGUUGGUGGGGUAAUGGCCUACCAAGGCAUCGACGCGUAGCGGGUCUGAGAGGACGACCCGUCACAUUGGGACUGAGAUACGGCCCAGACUCCUACGGGAGGCAGCAGUGGGGAAUAUUGCGCAAUGGCCGAAAGGUUGACGCAGCGACGCCGCGUGUGGGAGGACGCCCUUCGGGGUGUAAACCACUGUCAGGGGGGAAGAACUUCGCAGGUGUGAAUAGCGCUUGCGGUUGACGGUACCCCCAGAGGAAGCGCCGGCUAACUCCGUGCCAGCAGCCGCGGUAAGACGGAGGGCGCAAGCGUUGUUCGGAAUUACUGGGCGUAAAGGGCAGGUAGGUGGUCUGUUAAGUCUUCUGUGAAAACCCGGGGCUCAACCCCGCGGAAUGCAGGUGAAACUGGCAGACUUGAGACCGGUAGAGGCUAGCGGAAUUCCUGGUGUAGCGGUGGAGUG
rnacentral:rRNA from 1 species